UGGGAGAUAUUGCGCAAUGGGCGAAAGCCUGACGCAGCGACGCCGCGUGAGGGAUGAAGGUCUUCGGAUCGUAACCUCUGUCAGCAGGGAAGAAAGUUAAUGCGUGCUAAUCAGCGUGUAAUUGACGGUACCUGCAAAGGAAGCACCGGCUAACUCCGUGCCAGCAGCCGCGGUAAUACGGAGGGUGCGAGCGUUAAUCGGAAUUACUGGGCGUAAAGCGCUCGUAGGUAGUAUAUCAAGUCAAUGGUGAAAUCCCCGCGCUCAACGUGGGAACUGCCUUUGAAACUGGUAGACUUGAGUGUGUGAGAGGAUGGUGGAAUUCCAGGUGUAGGAGUGAAAUCCGUAGAUAUCUGGAGGAACAUCAGUGGCGAAGGCGACUAUCUGGCACAUAACUGACACUGAGGGAGCGAAGCGUGGGUAGCAAACAGGAUUAGAUACC
rnacentral:rRNA from 1 species